rfam:Mus musculus chromosome 4 genomic contig MG4266_PATCH, GRC reference assembly FIX PATCH for GRCm38.
UGGCUCAGUGGUUAAGAGCACUGACUGCUCUUUCAGAGGUUCUGAGUUCAAUUCUCAG